AUUGAACGCUGGCGGCAGGCCUAACACAUGCAAGUCGAGCGAGCGGCGGACGGGUGAGUAAUGUCUGGGAAACUGCCUGAUGGAGGGGGAUAACUACUGGAAACGGUAGCUAAUACCGCAUACCAUCAGAUGUGCCCAGAUGGGAUUAGCUGGGAGGUGGGGUAACGGCUCACCUAGGCGACGACCCCUAGCUGGUCUGAGAGGAUGACAAGCCACACGGGAACUGAGACACGGUCCAGACUCCUACGGGAUGAAGCAGUGGGGAAUAGUGCGCAAUGGGCGCAAGCAUGAUGCAGCCAUGCCGCGUGUGUGAAGAAGGCCUGCGGGUUGUAAAGCACUUUCAGCGGGGAGGCGUUACCCGCAGAAGAAGCACCGGCUAACUCCGUGCCAGCAGCCGCGGUAAUAC
rnacentral:rRNA from 1 species